rnacentral:rRNA from 1 species
GGUGAACGCUGGCGGCGUGCCUAAUACAUGCAAGUCGAGCGAACAGACGAGGAGCUUGCUCCUCUGACGUUAGCGGCGGACGGGUGAGUAACACGUGGAUAACCUACCUAUAAGACUGGGAUAACUUCGGGAAACCGGAGCUAAUACCGGAUAAUAUAUUGAACCGCAUGGUUCAAUAGUGAAAGACGGUUUUGCUGUCACUUAUGGAUGGAUCCGCGCCGCAUUAGCUAGUUGGUAAGGUAACGGCUUACCAAGGCGACGAUGCGUAGCCGACCUGAGAGGGUGAUCGGCCACACUGGAACUGAGACACGGUCCAGACUCCUACGGGAGGCAGCAGUAGGGAAUCUUCCGCAAUGGGCGAAAGCCUGACGGAGCAACGCCGCGUGAGUGAUGAAGGUCUUCGGAUCGUAAAACUCUGUUAUUAGGGAAGAACAAAUGUGUAAGUAACUAUGCACGUCUUGACGGUACCUAAUCAGAAAGCCACGGCUAACUACGUG